rnacentral:sRNA from 1 species
AGAAGACGCCGUUCAGGUUGACUUCGAUCAGCCUGCGCCAAUCUUCGAGCGGGUAGUCCGCGGUCGCUUGGCGCGGGCCCUCU